GAGAUAAUGUUGCACAUCGUUGCAAAUAUUGAGGUUCCCUUAAGUGUAAGAUCAUUCACAAGGUGAACUUAGGCUUCCUUCAUUAACAAGUGCUCACUUAGACUCUGUUAAAUGUGAGACCUUCCUCAACAAUUCUUUCUAUAAUGGUGUGAAGUCCCCUUCACUCAGCAAACUUAAGCUCCCCUAAGUUGAAAAAUCCUUUCUUGUGCAAUGCAAUUACUUUAGGUCCACACACGAAGAGUUAAUAUACCAAAAACAUUACUUGCAAUAUAACUAACCUUCUUCUCUCAAAUGGUCUUCACACAAAACUAACUUUCAAUAAUAAUAAUAAUAAAUGAUAGUCAAAGUUGGCUACUCUAGCAAUCACACACUACGCCCUCUAAAAAUGGUAAUGGUAGAAAAGAAAAAACUCCCACACAAACAUGACUCAAGCCAUAAAAAAGGAAAGAAAAUCUCACU
rnacentral:misc_RNA from 1 species